GAUUUCUGGGCAUCAGUUUCUGGCCGGCCACGGUUUCGUGUGUUAGUGCUUGAAGCUUUGUCCAUCCUUCCAAUCGCCAGCUACUAUUCUUCAUUGAUUGGUAGUUGGUAUUGGAUCUUUUACUUUGAAAAAAUUAGAGUGUUUAAAGCAGGCUUACGCUAUGAAUACAUUAGCAUGGAAUAAUAAUAUAGGACUUUGGUUCUAUUUUGUUGGUUUCUAGGACUGAAGUAAUGAUUGAUAGGGAUAGUUGGGGGUGCUAGUAUUCAGUGGCCAGAGGUGAAAUUCUUGGAUUCACUGAAGACUAACUACUGCGAAAGCAUU
rnacentral:rRNA from 1 species